ensembl:snRNA U6 U6 spliceosomal RNA
GCUCGGUUUGGCAACCACAUACUAACAUUGGAACAAUCAGAGAUUCGCACGACACCUGCACAAGGAUGACACAUGCAUUGUAAAUAAUUCCACAUUUAA